CCCCUAGAUGUUCUGGGCCGCACGCGCGCUACACUGAACAGUUCAACAAGUCUUAACCUUGGCCGAUAGGUCUGGGUAAUCUUUGAACGCUGUUCGUGAUUGGGAUAGACCUUUGCAAUUAUGGGUCUUCAACGAGGAAUUCCUAGUAAACGCAAGUCAUCAGCUUGCAUUGAUUACGUCCCUGCCCUUUGUACACACCGCCCGUCGCACCUACCGAUUGAAUGGUUUAGUGAGAUCCUCGGAUUGGCCAUCUCGGCGUGACUUCGGUUGUGCACGUGGUGGCCGAGAAGACGAUCAAACUUGAUCAUUUAGAGGAAGUAAAAGUCGUANCA
rnacentral:rRNA from 1 species